UGGGAGAUUAUUAAUAAAUUGUUACAGACUUGCGGUGAAAAUGAAUGGAAAUUAAUACAAAUUGCACCCUUAAUUUAGGAGGUGUAACUUUUUGACUAUCAUGAUAGAGACUUUCCGCCGUUUGACUUAUUUUCUUUGUAUAACUAUGAGACACGCCUACUUUGAUUUUCAACCAAUACUUCGUGGAGUUUUCCGCCGCAGCGCGUUGUCGUGUGCUACUGCUGUAUAUAUAAAAUCCAUGAAUCAGAGAUCUGAGGGCACCAGCACCAGGAGAGUUUCAAAAUUCAGUUUAUUCUCCAGAAAAAGGAAAAACUCAAUUCUUGUGAGCUUUUUAAUAGACAUUGAAGAGAUGCAGCGCGCUAUAAAAUAUGCUUUCGUGCUUACAAUAAUUUGCCUCCUCACCACUGCAGUUGGUCGUGGAGGCGGUGGAGCAAGGGGUGGCGGCGUUGGUGGUGGCGGUGGUGUGGUGCGUCCACUAAAUGGCAAUCCAAGUGGCCACACCAAAAAUAGCAGCCCAUCUACCUCUAUGGCAUGGUCGUGUUUAAGUAUGCCGUACUUAGUUUAUGCUUUUUUUCUUUGGUUGCAUUAUUAAAGUAGAUUUCAGGGAUUAAUUAUCGCUUUCCACACCUAUUUAAUUUAUACAUUAUUUGUACAAAAAUACAAAAGUUUUUACGGAAUUAUUGAUGAUACAUUAGUUGAUUGCGAUUAUCUUAUGUAUGAUUUGUUAAAUGAGAAAAUCAUUAUUCUCAACGGACAAAGAUUAUGCAGCUCUCGUUGCACUUUGACAACAAGUCCAUUAAGUGUGAAUACGGUGAAGGCAACCGAUAUGUGAAUGUUAAUUUUAUUCAUCUUUUCUCAUAAAAAAUUGACAAGAAAAUUGUCGAAACAACAUCGUCGCUACACGUAAAUCCCAUUUAAUCCGUGAUUUUAUGUAUUUAAAGGAGAGAAAACGAAAACCAAUGAAAAAUUAAG
rnacentral:lncRNA from 1 species